rnacentral:rRNA from 1 species
UACAGAGGGUGCAAGCGUUGUUCGGAAUUAUUGGGCGUAAAGGGCGUGUAGGCUGUUAAGUAAGUCUUCUGUGAAAUCUACGGGCUUACCCCGUAACGUGCAGAGGAAACUGCUUAGCUUGAGUGUCGGAGAGGAUAGGGGAAUACCCGGUGUAGAGGUGAAAUUCGUAGAUAUCGGGAGGAACACCUGAGGCGAAGGCGGGCUACUGGGCCGAUACUGACGCUGAUGCGCGAAAGCGUGGGGAGCAAACAGG